rnacentral:misc_RNA from 1 species
CACUUGAGCAGUUGGUCCAUCUUGGGGAUGGCCUCUCCCUGUAUAAAUACCUUCUCCUCCAACCUUUCUUUUAUAGGAAAAGAAUUAGAGGACAUCUUCCUUUCAUCUACAAUCCCGAACAACCCUCUCCUAUCUCUAUCUCCAUUUCUUCACCUAACCCGCCAGUAUACCAAAGAGUAUCUUCACUUCUUCACAAUUCGGCUUUUCCCACCUAUAUAUAUUCCAUACAUUCUGAUAGUUUCUUGGGAAACAAGCUGAGUUUCAAGAAUUUCUCUUUCAAGUAUUGUUUCUCUCAAUACUUCUUUGGACACCAUUUACGUUUAAAACAUUCUUUGUUUGUAGUUGUAAGUCUGUUCUAUACUAGAACAUGAACACUAUGAUCUCUUCACUAAAGCACUCGCACUCCACUUUCACUUCUUCUGAUUUCCUACCCAGAAAGCGUUCAGCUGUUAAACUUCAGUUUUCUCCACUACACAUUAUUCCGAAUUCGCAAAAAGGCCAUAACUUUGUCCCUUCAUUGACUUCUGAGAAGCCGCUUCACAUUUCUUCAGUUGAGAACUUUUCUCUUUCUGCAAAACGGGAACAAAAGAAGCCAUUGACGGUUUGCAAUGCUUAUGAAGCUGACCGGUCACGGCCACUGGACAUUAACAUAGAACUUCCGGAUAAGCAGGCAGCACAGAAGAUCAAGAUUGGGAUAUACUUUGCCACUUGGUGGGCUUUGAAUGUGGUGUUCAAUAUUUAUAACAAAAAGGUCUUGAAUGCUUUCCCUUAUCCUUGGCUCACUUCUACGCUCUCGCUUGCUUGUGGGUCUCUCAUGAUGCUGAUUUCUUGGGCCACGAGGGUCGCUGAUGCCCCGAAAACUGAUUUCGAGUUUUGGAAGACUCUGUUUCCUGUUGCGGUAGCUCAUACAAUUGGGCAUGUGGCUGCAACUGUGAGCAUGUCUAAAGUUGCAGUGUCAUUCACUCACAUCAUCAAGAGCAGCGAGCCUGCUUUCAGUGUUCUGGUGUCAAGGUUUCUAUUGGGUGAGACAUUCCCUGUGCCAGUUUAUCUAUCACUUGCGCCAAUUAUUGGAGGUUGCGCUCUAGCAGCUGUUACUGAGCUCAAUUUCAACAUGACUGGGUUUAUGGGGGCUAUGAUCUCGAAUUUGGCAUUUGUGUUUCGGAACAUAUUCUCGAAGAAGGGGAUGAAGGGGAACUCUGUUAGUGGGAUGAACUACUAUGCUUGUUUGUCUAUUUUGUCUUUGUUGAUCCUUACCCCUUUUGCAAUAGCUAUGGAGGGCCCUAAGAUGUGGGCUGCUGGCUGGCAAAAUGCUCUUGCUCAAAUUGGACCCAAUUUUAUUUGGUGGGUGGCGGCGCAGAGCAUUUUCUAUCAGCUAUAUAAUCAAGUUUCAUACAUGUCUCUUGAUCAAAUCUCUCCAUUGACAUUUAGCAUUGGAAACACAAUGAAGCGGAUAUCCGUCAUAGUCUCCUCCAUCAUCAUCUUCCACACCCCCGUCCAACCUUUCAAUGCCCUUGGAGCUGCCAUAGCGAUCCUUGGCACAUUCCUGUAUUCACAGGCAAAGCAGUGAAGAAUCAAGAAUUCCAAGGUUGUGAUGUAAACAUUAGACAAUGGAAGAGUUAGAAUGAAGAUGCUGAGUUUGAUCGGAAUGAUUGGCGGUGGCUUUUGACAGAAAAAAUUGGCGAUGGCUUUCGUUAACAAUCUCUGAUGAUGGCCUUUAGACUAUCAAAGGGAAUCAGCCUUGCUAAGACGGUUAACAGCUGCUUCUUUUUCAAGAUCCUCGCUAAUCUGCAUUCUGCAGAGUAAUCUUAUAAUUGCCCUCGACAAAGUAGGUUGCAGUUUCAUUUCCUCUGUAUAAUGUCUGCAUAGUCAAUAAAGAAAAUGUUGGAGACCUUGUUUUGAUGCAAAAAUACAAUAAAGCAAGCAAUUUCUUGACUGAUAUGAUUU